CACGUAGGGGCCAAGCGUUGUCCGGAUUUAUUGGGCGUAAAGAGCUCGUAGGCGGCUCGGUAAGUCAGGUGUGAAACCUCCAGGCUCAACCUGGAGACGCCACCUGAUACUGCUGUGGCUAGAGUCCGGUAGGGGAGCGUGGAAUCCUGGUGUAGCGGUGAAAUGCGCAGAUAUCAGGAGGAACACCAGCGGCGAAGGCGGCGCUCGUGGGCCGGUACUGACGCUGAGGUGCGAAAGCGUGGGGAGCAAACAGG
rnacentral:rRNA from 1 species